CAUUAUCCGUUGUCUGUCUCCAUCUUAUCUUCCUAUGAUUCAUUCUACCCUGAGGAUGCUGGGCCAUCAUCACACCAUGGAUGCUCAUGGGUCUUCCUGCCUCUGUAAGGUCCCUGACCACAGAAGAGAAGCUCUGCCUUAUUAACCACAGUCUUAGCAGAACACAGCAGGAGAUAAUAAUAUUGAUUGUGAUAUUAGUGAUACAAGGCACCUGAAUUAAAAAACAACCCAACUUUCAGGACAGAAGAUAUGAUGAAGAAACAAAUGCUAAGAGCUCCUCACAGGCCAUCCAGAAAAGCAUGUUUUCUUCACUGAAUUCUGUUCGAAGGAAUUCCCGGAAUGCAUUUCUUCCAGCUGGAGUGACCAUUAGGUUGUCAAA